rnacentral:rRNA from 1 species
CCCGCACAAGCAGCGGAGCGUGUGGUUUAAUUCGAUGCAACACGAAGAACCUUACCAGGGCUUGACAUGUUAGAAGUAGGAACCCGAAAGGGGGACGACCAGUAUCCAAUCUGGAGCUAACACAGGUGCUGCAUGGCUGUCGUCAGCUCGUGCCGUGAGGUGUAUGGUUAAGUCCCACAACGAGCGCAACCCUCGUCGCUAGUUAAUUUCCCUAGCGAGACCGCCUCGCAAAACGAGGAGGAAGGCGGGAUGGCGUCAAGUCAGCAUGGCCUUUAUACCCUGGGCGACACACACGCUACAAUGGGUGGUACAGCAGGUUGCGAAAGAGCGAUCUGGAGCUAAUCCCUAAAAUCAUCCUCAGUUCGGAUUGCAGGCUGAAACUGCCUGCAUGAAGUUGGAGUUGCUAGUAACCGCAGGUCAGCACACUGCGGUGAAUACGUUCUCGGGCCUU